rnacentral:rRNA from 1 species
GACGAAGGGGGCUAGCGUUGUUCGGAAUUACUGGGCGUAAAGCGCGUGUAGGCGGUUGUUCAAGUCGGGUGUGAAAGCCUUGAGCUCAACUCAAGAAAUGCACUCGGUACUGGAUGACUAGAGGACCGGAGAGGAUAGUGGAAUUCCCAGUGUAGUGGUGAAAUACGUAGAGAUUGGGAAGAACACCAGUGGCGAAGGCGGCUAUCUGGACCGACACUGACGCUGAGGCGCGAAAGCGUGGGGAGCAAACAGG